GGAGCGCCCCGCGGAAUUGGGUUCAGCAUCCUGCCUGUUCGUGCAGCAGCCGCGCGCCAGCUCGUCCCUCCAUGCGAGCCUGUUCGUGCUAGAGUCCUGUUCGUGCUAGAGUCCGGGCGCCAGCGCGGAGUCCGUCCAUGCGAGCCGCUCGUCCCUCCGGACGGCCGGCACUUUUGAAGCCCGGAGGCCCCUUCUUGGAUCCACGGUAAGCCGCCACUGGUGUUUCUUGCACAUUUUUUUUCGUGUAUGCACAAAUGCGCCUAAGAACAGUUGAACAACUCCGCGAGCUCAUGAUGUUGUUGUGAUACAACCUUCAUACUCUGGACUGUGCACCUGGUAUUUCAGUUUUGCUUACCUUAGCAGAACCGUGGUGGUUAUAAUUCGUGGAGUUCUGCGCACCAUAUCAUGCUAAUGAUUAUAAUUUUCGUUAUCAUGAGUUCCAGGAUGCAUCCUGGAUUUUUCUUGGUAAAAUAUCAGUGCCAAACUAAACUUUCUUCAGUUCUUGUGCAAGUUAAUCUGUCUGAAUGUACUGACCCUGUCAUAGCGAUUAUUCAGGAAUCAGAACAAGCAACUGCUCUAGUGAUUGCAAAACAUACCUGCGAAAACAAAAAUAUAUUAUGAAGAUUCUCUCGUAGCUGUGUCGUUAAACUCUAUUCCUCUUGACGAAACACGGGCUAUAACCCUGAUCACGAAAAAAAAUACAGUUGAACCCAGGAGAACAAGAAAUCAAAAAAACCUUUUGUUACAAUAUGAUUGUCUUUGAAGUCCUAUAAGCAAUGGCCUAAACAGUUACCCAUAUUGUUGAAUGAUCUGGAUAGAUGGGAUGUGUUUGACCCUAACAAAAUCUUCACUAAGUUCUCCCAAUCUAUCAGUAAACGAGCUUGGCAUGCCCACCAAUCUCAGUCUCUGCAAUGUAGUAAGAGACUGCAACCCAGUAGGAACUGUUGCUAGAUUUUCACAUGACAUGAUCCACACUUCCUGUAUACAGGGCAUGGCUCCUUCAUCGACAUCCCAUUCCUCCAGCUCCUCAAGUUCAGUUAUGAUAAAUAUUUUCAGGUUUGGAAAGCCUGGACAGCAGCAUCUCAUCACUUUUCCCUGGUAUGCUUUGUUCAGCUGGAGGAAUAGCAG
rnacentral:lncRNA from 1 species